GUUCUUCUGCUUACCGCUACAGUGUGGAACAUGGUGGAGAGAACAGAAUGAAACCUGGGCUUAGAAAAUAUGUCUGUGAUCUCACACUGGACCUAAAAACAGUAAACAGACACCUCUCUUUGUCUGAGGAGAACAGAAAGGUGACAUGGAGGAGAGAGGAGCAGCUGUAUCCUGAUCACCCAGAGAGAUUUGAGGACUGUGGAGAGGUGCUGUGUAGAGAGGGUCUGACUGGGCUCUGUUACUGGGAGGUAGAGUGGAGUGGGAGAAGGGCUGUUAUAGGAGUGACAUAUAAAGGAAUCAACAGGAGAGGAAGGGAUAAGGACUGUUGUCUUGGACACAAUGACAAGUCCUGGAGUCUGUUCUGCUCUGACAACAGUUACUAUGCCUGUCACAAUAAUAAUCACAUUACCAUAGACGUCCCCUCCUCCAGCUCCCACAGAGUAGGAGUGUAUCUGGACUGGCCAGCCGGCACUCUGUCCUUCUAUAGAGUCUCCUCUGACACACUGUCCCACCUGAUCACAUUCACAUCCACAUUCACUGAGCCCCUCUAUCCAGGGUUUGGGGUUUGGGGUGAUGACUCCUCAGUGUCCCUGUAAAUACACACACACAUACACUGGACACACAGACAUACACUGGACACACACACACACACACACACACACACACACACACACACACUGGACACACACACACACUGGACACACACACACACACACUGGACACACACACACACUGGACACACAGACAUACACUGGACACACACACACACACAUUGGACACACACUGACACACACACACUGACACACACACAUUGGACACACACACACACUGACACACACACAAACACACACUGACAUACUGUUAGGAAAUUCUGAUUAAUAUGACUGAACAAAUCAUUUUAAAUGGAACUGUAAGUAAACUUAUACUCUGAUAUAUUAUAUCUGAUUAACAAUAUGAGUUCAUAAGAAGGGAUUGUGAGACACAGACAAGGAGUAAUUAAAGUUAAUGAACACCAUUCCAACUAGGCAGAAACAAAUGGGUUUGAAAACAGAUAAGGUAGUUAGCCUAUGGUUGACCCAACUGAAACUUAGCUCUUGGGUUUUUAGAUAAGGCAGUGAGUGCAUUCCUAGUUUUUCUGUUAAUUAAAACUGUCAGUUCAGUGGUGAUCGAUAAUGUUGAGGGGUCAAAAGUUAUCUGGGAGUGUGGUAGUAAGUUAGAAUGAACUUUUCACCUUACUUUGUCCCGGUCGAGAGGAGGGGAUUCGGUUAAGGCAGUGAAAUGACGUCAUGAUCUGUAUAUAAACUGAUGCAUGUGUUUAAGUGGUAGCGCGCUCCGAGAAUAAAUUAUAUUACCUAUUAUUGAAA